GCUUGCUUCUGCUCCCCAAAAUCCUAUAAAAAGCCCAUCCUUGGUUCCGUGGGGCGCGCCAGUCCCCCGAGUGACUGAAGCGCCCGCAGGUGCCUGUGCCUGUGUAUCCCGACAAUAAACCAAAUCCUCUUGCUGAUUGCAUCCUGUGGUGUCUCAGUCUGGUCUUUGGAGUUAGAGGGUCUCCAUCCCGAAGGAAAGUUCUCCCUGAGAGCUUUUCAUUUGGUGCGCUGGCCGGGAAAGGAGAUCCUCCACCCAGGGACCACCGACCACCCACUGGGAGCCUACUUGGGAUGACUGCCAACAGCUCUUACAGGCCCUCUUAACCUCAGAAAAAAAACAAAGAGUGUUCCUAGAGGCCAGAAAGCAUGUUCUGGGAGAUGAUGGGCGUCCCACCCAGCUGCCUGAGAAAAUUGAUGCUGCAUUCCCACUUAAGAGACCAAACUGGGAUUUUAAUACAGCUGAAGAGUUAGGGGCCAGCCUGACUCAGGAAAGGGGGCUUUGGAGGACGUUUUGAAACAAAGAAUCCCUGAGUCUGAAGUGGGAAGGCCAAGUGUCAACUCCAGAACUAAUUUCUCAGCAAGGCUCAAACAACACAUGACCCUGUAAUGUACAGACAAAGGCAUUUGUUCCUCUAUAAAACUGAAUCCAGUGGUCUACACUGAAAAGAGGGAGACUUGCUGAUGGGUUCAGUGACACCCGGGAGCACCUGAAACACCUGUCCUCUUUACAACCCAUACCCAUGUCUGCUUGAGUCCUGGGGUUCUCUGUUAAUGAUAACUUUGCCCUGCUCUGGUGAUCAGGGCUGGGCAGAGCCAGAUUGGAGUCAGAUACAGAACAAAGCAGUAGGCUCUGGCUCUCUGGCCCAUCGACACUAUGGAGGAAGCCCAGGAGCCAAGGUUUACCUGUACUGUUCUAGGACUCAUCAACAAUUCAGACUAGUCAUUUGCAGAAAUCGAGAAGGAAGAGCUGAAGUGGAAGCUUGAGGGUUCUUUGAAGAGUCAGUUGUGUUGGAUGCUGUUUUGCUGGGGCAAACACAUGAAGGAGUGUUUUCCUGAAGUGGACACAGGUGAAAGGCUAAGGCAGAUUCCAUUGAACCAAACACAGGAGAAAGGAUGUUCUGCUAAAGCAAGCAUGUGAAAGGGCACGUGAUGAAGAAUUCUUCGCUAACUACAUGAACGUAUUGGUCUGCCUUACAUCUAGUGGUUGAGUUUCAUUUGUCGGGACUCCGUAGAAAGCAAUGCACCAAAAAACUUCUGCUCCGGGCUGCAGUUUCUUGCCACUUCUGUGGACUGGACUGAUUGGCAGAAUGAUGUCAGCUGAGACAGACUCACGUGCCGAGGCAAGACCCAUGGUGAGGGAAGACCCAUGGAGGACACUUGAUGUUUGGAGGGAGUAUGAAUACAACUGAAGGGACAAUGACAGCUGCUGAGCUUGGCUUGCUUAUAUGCUAGCUGUGCAAUGCCUGUUGGUCUCGAAUCAUCAUGGCUCUUCACUUCCCUGAGAGAGGCACAGCAGAUAACUUCUCCUGGCCUCCCUCUGGGUCCCUCUAGCCGACUAGAGCCAAGGCUGAGGCCUGGCUGUCUGCUAGGUUGUAUCAACACUGUUGCUAACCCAGCUCUACUGAAUUGAAUGGCUGGUGAAUCUGUGAAGUGUUUGCGAAGGGAUCAAGCUGUCUCUGCCUGCUAACCGGUGAACUGAACUGCCCGAUUGCCAGACAACACAGACGGGCGUUGCUCUAAACAGCCAUUUCUAAACAGGUCCACUUCCCCCAUAUCCUUUCUUUUCCACUACCUCUGAUGGGUGGUGGGCUAAAUGGAAGGUCAAAGUGUUUAAGAACCAUCAUUAAAAAUAGGUUUUGAAAAGUAUUAGAGUUAUAAAGAACCCAACUAUAAUCAGAUCACAGCAAAACCACAGCCCCACAGUGAACAGUAUCUGACAUCUGCUCAUGAUCUUCAGAGCUCAGGCAGCUCCAUUUCUCUCUGCCCUCCAAGGCACACAGAGCUCAUCUCAGAGGCUUAGGCUUCAUCAUUAUAGAAGUAUUGUACUCCGUAGUCAUCCCACAGUCAAAGGCAAAAAAAACCCCCAAAAACCAAAAAACAAAAAAACAGCGCUCCCUGGGCGUCACACGUUGUUUGGCUGACAAUCUAAAAUGCAACCUUGGCUCUCCCUGGACCCUCUGUGUGCUAACUGAGGAAAUACUUCAGAGAUUCCACUUCAACACUGGUCACUCAAUCCCAGCUAAUUUCUCAGCUCCAGCUGACCAGUAUCUCUUAUCCCAGUAAAGCAAAGAUUCUACUCUAAUAGUAUUCACGUUCUUCAGCCCUAAAUGGUUGUGAAUGGUCCUGAUAGAAUCUUUAAGAGACUCUCAAACUUCCUCUGAGCCUUCAAAGCCAGGCCUAUUAACCCAUGAUCAGACUUAGAUGGCAGGACUGGUCUUUCCUCACAGGCUUGCCAUGGAUACACAUCACACUUCUUCAUAUGCUUGCCUCGGUUACCCAGCACACUGCUGGCAGGCACCUAGACGAGCAGCCUGGAGGCCUUUGGGAAAGACAACUCCUGGAAGACCUGUGACCUGAGUUUGUUUAUAUGGUGGAUUACAUUGAUGGAUUUUAUUAUAUUGAACCAUCGUGUGUCCCUGGAAUGAAGCCUAUGUGAUCAUGGUGAAUGAAGUUUCUGAACAGAACAGCAACAGCUCAGGCACUAAGAUCAACAGUGAAUUAAUGGGACCUCAUGAAAUUGAAAAGCUUUUGCAAGGAUAAGGAUACCAUCAAUAGGAGCCUACAGAAUGGGAAAAGAUCUUCAUCAGCCCUACAUCUCACAGAGGAUUGAUAUCCAGAAUGUAUAAAGAACUCAAGAAAGACACUGACAAACCAAAUAGCCCAACUAAAAAAAUUGGAUACAGAGCUAAAGAGAGAAUUCUCAACAGAGGACUCUCUAGAAACACUUAAAUGUUCAGCAUCCUUGGUCCUCAGGGAAAUGCAAAUCAAAAUGACUCUGAGAUUCCAUAUUUUGCCUGUCAGAAUGGCCAAGAUCAAAAAUUCAAGUGAUAGCACAUGCUGGUGAGGAUGUGGAGUAAAGGCAACACUCCUCCAUUGUUGGUGGGAAUGCAAACUCCCACAACCACUCUAGAAAACAAUGUGGUGGUUCCUUUAAAAAAAUUGGGAACAGUUCUACUCCAAGACCCAGCUAUACCACUCUUGGACAUAUAUACCCAAAAGACGCCCCACUAUACUACAAGGACACUUGCCCAACUGUGUUCACAGCAGCUUUAUUUGUAAUAGCCAGAAACUGGAAACAACCUAGAUGUCCCUGAACUGAACAAUGGAUAAAGAAAAUGUAUAUCUACCCAAUGGAAUGCUAUUCAGCAAUUAAAAACAAAGACAUCAUUAUAUUUGCAGGCAAAUGGAUGAAACUAGAAAAUAUCACUCUGAGUGAGGUAACCCUGACCCAGAAAGACAUGAAUGGUAUAUAUUCACUUGUAAGUGAACAUUAGCCACAAAGUACAGGAUACCCAUGGUAAAAAUCCAUAGACCCAAAAAACCUAAGUAAUAAGGAAGGCCUGAGGGAGGGUACCUGAAGACCACUCAGCAUGGUGAAAAAAUAGUCAUUGAAGGUGGAUGGAGAGGGAACUGGGUGGGAGAGGGGGCAAGGAGGAGAAUGGGAAUGGGGAUG
ensembl:lncRNA